AUUUGAUAAAUAAAAUUUUGAUUUCGAAUCAAAAAUGAAUUAAUCAAUAA
rnacentral:tRNA from 1 species